CUUCAAUUGCAGAGAAAAUCAACAUCAAUGGCUGCUCUAAGUGUACAAGAAGUUCUACCAGCAACUCUGGAAUCUACUUCCGAACCUCCGUCUCUCUUUGAUGGAACUACCAGGUUGUAUAUCAAUUAUCAAUGCCCGUAUUCUCAGCGUGUGUGGAUUACCAGGAAUGUUAAGGGUUUGCAAGACAAGAUCAACUUAGUUCCGAUUGAUCUUCAGAACAUGCCUGAUUGGUACAAGGAAAAAGUUUAUCCCCAAAAUAAGGUGCCAUCCCUGGAGCACAAUAACAAAAUGAUAGGAGAGAGUUUGGAUCUGGUUAAAUAUGUUGAUAGCAACUUCGAGGGACCAUCACUUUUGCCGGAUGACCCUGAAAAGCGGAAAUUUGCUGAAGAAUUGAUAGCUUAUAGUGAUAUAUUCGUCCCAGAAGUAUACAAAUCGUUCUUCAGAGAUGCACAGACACUGGCUGGUGCACAAUUCGAUUACCUAGAGAAAGCUCUUGACAAAUUUGACGAUGGACCUUUCUUCCUCGGUCAAUUCAGUCAGGUUGACAUAGCAUAUGUUCCAUUUAUCGAAAGGUUCCAAAUUUUCAUGGAAAAGGGGAUUAACUAUGACAUCACAUCCGCGAGGCCUAAACUAGCCAAAUUGAUCGAGGAAAUGAACAAGCUUGACGGUUACAAGCAAACAAAAGUCUUGGAUCCAGAGAAACUGGUUGAAUACUAUAAGAAUCUCUUUCUGAAAAAGGCUUGAAACUUCAAAAAUGCAUUUGAUCUAGUUACAUGGGCUAGUACUUUGAUAUAUCAAAUAUGUUUGUGGAGUUCUAUAAUAUUAUGUAUCAAUAAAUUGG
rnacentral:misc_RNA from 1 species